UACAGAGGGGGCAAGCGUUGUCCGGAUUUACUGGGCGUACAGCGCGCGCAGGCGGAGCUGGACGUGCCGUGUGACAAGCCACCGCUCACCGGUGGAGGGCCACGGUACACGACAGCUCUGGAGGCAGGGAGAGGGAUGUGGAAUGUCCGGUGGAGCGGUGAAAUGCGUAGAUAUCUGGAGGAAUACCGGUGGCGAAGGCGGCAUCCUGGACCGACAUUGACGCUGAUGAGCGAAAGCUAGGGGAGCAAACGGG
rnacentral:rRNA from 1 species